GACCCGCUCUACCCCGGCGGCAGCUUCGACCCCCUGGGCCUCGCCGAGGACCCCGAGGCGUUCGCGGAGCUCAAGGUGAAGGAGAUCAAGAACGGCCGCCUCGCCAUGUUCUCCAUGUUCGGCUUCUUCGUGCAGGCCAUCGUCACCGGCAAGGGGCCCCUGGAGAACCUCGCCGACCACCUCGCCGACCCCGUCAACAACAACGCCUGGGCCUUCGCCACCAACUUCGUCCCCGGCAAGUGAGCGCGGUCAGCUCAACCUCUAGGCCGACAACUUCAUGGCUGAUGGAUGCUGCUGCAUGUGUGUCGUCGUCGAUCUCUGCUUCUUCCCGUUGUGAGAUUGAGUAGUCCGGACUGAUAGAUGUUGCAUGUGAGGGCGAGUCGAGAUGAGGAGUUGGUGUGUGUACACUAAGAUGGUGUUUGUGUAAUAUCUGGCUAUUUUCUCAGAUUAAUCAAGGCAUCUCUGUUCUU
rnacentral:lncRNA from 1 species